AGUUCGUGUCCGCGUAACAAACCAUUAAGAGCACCGGGGCUGAAAAGUCUUUAGAUUUGGGAAACCUUACACACUUGUUUCCCCCCCUCCCUGUUUGCUGAAUGCUGUUGACUAAAUCCAUCAAACUAGUCAUGCUAAUUAGCGUCCAGGGCAGCUUCGCCGGCGGAGCAGAUCCCGGGGCGGGCGGCCCCGCGGCCGGGACUUUCCUUCCGGACCGGCCGCCGCCCCGCAAGGGGCAGGAGGGAAUCCAUCCACUUCAAACAAGCAAAAGCCACCAGCACUGCAAACCAAACCCGCUGCCCAGGGAGGUUGUGGAGUCUCCUUCUCUGCAGACAUUCAAAACUCACCUGGACACCUCCCUGUGUAACCUCAUCUGGGUGUUCCUGCUCCAGCAGGGGGAUUGGACUGGAUGAUCUUUCUAAGUCUCUUCCAAUCCCUGACAUCCUGUAAUCCUGCAGUCUCAGAGCUGCACAAGCCUGACCAAAGGAAGAAUUCUUAUAACACGGCUGCUACAGGUGGUACAAAACCCAGCGCUGGGCUGGUAUUCACAACACAUAGUCUGUACAGCAUGGGCAAGCCUUCAGCCAGGACCUCGGACACUGAGAACAUGCUCCUCCACAAAAUGUAGUUUCCAUUGCAGUUGAUCAAAUUUUGAGAUUCAGUGACACAAAAGUACAGAACCUCACACAACUGUUUUUUUUUUUUUCUCUUUUGGAGUGGGCAGAUGCUUUAAGAAGCUGUAAAUUAUACAGCUAGCCUAGCGGAAUAGAUAAUGGCAAGCAUGAGUUUCGGAGGACUGGCAAAGCAAUAACAGAAGUAUGUUGGCAAUCCCAAACAAGGACCAAAUUCCCUACUAAUGUGACUGUACCGAGUUCAGAUUUUGGUGGGUGUGAAUGAAAUUUAUAAUUGACUAUAACUCUACAUAAACUCUAGACAGAUACAGAAUGUAGAUUUCUGUGCUUGUUUCAGGUUUUAUUGCAUUUUCAAAAUUUUCACACAGUCUGUAAACUAUCAUUGUCUUAUUUCGUAUUUAGAAAAAAACGCACCAAGCAGCAACAAGAACGUAUCAGGCAGUUGCGAGGUCCCAAACAUUGAGAUUGACUCCUUCCUCAUACAAGCCUCGAUUAAAUCUUAUUUUCUAAGGGAAAAAUAAUUUUAUUACUUCUGUAUAGAAAACUCAUGUUUCCCAGUAUCUUAUGUUUUCCUGCCUAACUACCAUCAGGAGGAUUGCCUUUUUCCUCCCUCUGCAAUUAAAUGCUCUUGCUAGUGUAACAGUGUAAGUUUCUCUUUUAAGCUGCCUGUCUUUUCAGCGGAAGUGGUUUAGAGUAGACAAAUCACUUAUCUAAAAAUUAUGUACUUACUUCUCCUUUGACAAAUCUUCAGCAGGUUUCUAAUCCCAUCCUGCCACUUGAAAUAUCACUUUCUGUGAUGACAUUUGAGUCACAGUUGUCAGAAGCAUCAGGCUCUGUAGUUAAAUGGAUUAAAUCACACUUCAUAGCAUGUAGUAUUUUGAAGGAGGAGUGGUUUAUCAUUUGUAGAAAUUAAUCAUAACAGUUUUUUCUCUAGGGCAAAUUCCCAAUCAUUUUUACAGAUUACAAUGUUUAAGCCCCACUGACAGCAGUAUGUCAAAUUACAUCACAGGGAAGGUUAUCUCAGGCAGUGAUCACUAUUAGCAAGACUCGCUGAGGCAUCUACCCCUGGGAGAAGCGGGUCCGUACUGGGAAGCACCUUUUAAAUGAGGGGUGGGGAGCAGCUCUUUGGCCGUGCUUGGGGGCUGGGGCAUCGCUCAGUCCUACGGGGGGGGAAAGAGGAGAUGCUUGUUUGGGCCACCUCUAGCUGAUUAAGGAGUUGAAAGAUUUUCAAAGUCCCAUUUACCUUGAAACAGGAGGCAGCGUUUGUCCGUUUAACAUCUGCUGCCAAUGCCAAGCAAUAUUACUGAUCAGAAUCCUCCCAAAUCUCAAUCCUGUCAGUCACCACCUGGCACAGAAAUUAAAUCACCACCAGCACAUCCAUAUGGUACUGCUCAUUGCUCUCCAUGCCAAGAUGCUUCUCUCUCAAGCAGUGUAUUUUUCAAAAGUCACCAGUCCAUCCUUAGGACAUGAUGGCGCAACAGACUUCCAUGCCCAUGGAACACUGAUUUUUAUGGUGAUAAUGAUGUAGACAGAUUUGUAUGUUCAGGUGCCUUCGAUUGCUCAACAUAAAUGGCACAAUGCUUAUCUUCAACUAGGUUCAAGGGAGGUAACCUUUGGGUGUGAUUCUUGUUUCUCUCCCUCCCUGCUCCUCUUUUGUGGUGUUACAAAAAUGAACCAAAUACAUUGACACCUGUAAUAAAGACACAGGCCACCAAGAGGAAAAGGAGGAAAGGCUGCAGAGAGGUGGAGAUCAAAUCCCCCAUUUGGACGCUUCAGUGUCAAGUAGACUGUACAAGAGGGGGACAUCAUCAUGUUCUACUGUAAUUUCAUUAUGAGAGGUGCACAGAGCAGAGAGGUUGUUUAGAGAAAGAAAACAUAACGGGUAAGGAAAUUCUCUUCAAGUAGCUGUAAUACCAGUUACUGCCCAUUGAGUCAUAACCCUUUAGCAAUGCAAAUUUUCUGUGACCAAAGAUUUAAAGGUGUAUCUUGGGGACCAAUCUUUAUUCACCAGAGUUUUGCUGCACUGCUGAACACAGCAGGGUAUUUCCUUACAACAUUUGUCUAGAGCAGGUUAUUUGCCCAAGAAUUACUUCCCUGGAUAUGUAUAUAUUUUACUAUUGAUUCAAAGGAUUCAAAAAACCCUUUAGAAGGCUUACAAUUACCUAGCAGAGAUACACAAAAUACAUGGAUCGGUGGCCUUGUGGAUUUUUCCUAAUGUUUCACAGUAGGUUGAGUCAGCUGAAACUGUUAUAAAUCACAGGGCUGUCUCCCAGUCAGAAACCAACCAUGUACUUGGGAAAAAAAAUCCUUUGACUCUGCAUCAAGUGUCUUCCAUGCAUAACUCAUUUUCUGAGAAUCAAACCAACUCCAUCCAGAGAGAGGUGUGAGAGGAAAAUCCAGUGUAAAAAAGCACAGUAAAAAAGACUCUUCUAUGUGGUUUAGUUUUGUGUCGUUUAAGUCAAAGAUUACUACACAGCAGAGAUCACUAUGACUAAAGUACUUACCCUUGGGUCCUGUUUUUUGUCAAGGUUUAUAAAACAAAGGUAGGAAAGUUACAAAAUGUAAUACCACAGCAUUUCCUUUUCUCCUGCUGCCCAUGACCCCUGAUCACACAUGCCCUUGGUAGCUCAAUGUUUUGACAGACCCUCUGAUCUCGACUACACACCUGGGAACAUCCAAUGCUCUUUUGGAUGCGCACAACAAUUGGGUCAAAACCUUCUGAAAGAGACUUACACCCUAUUUAUCUUUGAAGACCACAGAAAUGCUCGUGUUCCUGCUACCUGAUUAUGAAAAAUUGUUCCUUCAAACCUAUGUAGAGGCUCAGGACAGACUUGUAGGCACUGAAAUGAAAAACACCUCUGUCAAUUGCCAUAGCCUUAAAUCAGUCUAGUUAGAUGCAAUGUGGCAAUUUUCUAAUCUCUACUUCCUCUCCUCUUCUCUCCCUUUCCUUUUUCAUUUCCUUUCUCCUUUCCCUUUACCACGUAAAGGAAAACAAACAAACCAACAUCUAUAAAAUUACAACAAAAUAUGCCCCCCUCCAUAAUUACACAGUGAAGCCACAUUCAUCAUGUCCAUACCUCUGGUUUUAUUCGCAGCUAUUCUUUUACAGAAAACUGAGAAGCAAAAAUAACCAAACCAUGCAGAAAUAAAGAAUGAAGUACACUAAGGAAAAAUCACAUCUGUAAUAUGGGAUGACAGUCAGAAUAGAGGCUUUACAGAACAACAACAAAAAAAAACAAACAAAAAACAAAACAAAACAAACAAUCACUGUACAAUGAGGGCACCAGUUCAGAGUUGCCUCCAGCACUGUUCCACCUGUAGAAGAGCUGUCCCCUCCCACCCCAACUUGUCCAUCAGGCAAUUCUAGAGACAGAUGGAACACACCCCACCUGUGAUGCUCUGCCCUUCUUUUACCUUAUCUAUUUUGCUACAAAUACUAAUGAAUGUUUUUAAAACUGCUUUUCAUGACAUGGGAGCUGUAUUGAUUUUCCAAAGUUUAGACAGGUCUUAACUAUUAAACACUUCCAUUCAAACUCCUUGGUAAACUUGAGUGUGGCACAAAUGUCUUCAGUGCUCAUCUGCACUUCUAGAGCCUCUUUUGGCACCUGGGCUAGAGUUCAGGAUAUCUCUUCUAGCAAAUCAGAAAUAGAAAUUACCUGAAGCUCUUUCCAUACUGAAUCCAUUUUUUCAGCAUGAUCAAAUGGAUUUCUAAAACAUCCAUAUUUUUUGCUAACUCCUGAUUAAAUUUUUUUAUGCCAUGUCUUGCAAACUGCCCAAUUUUCCUCAUAUAGUGGAGAUAUUUUAAGCCUGUUAAUGCAUUGGGAGAAUAUCUGAUCAACUGUUUCUUGAGAUUUCAAACUAAUCUUUUAGAAUUCAUAUGUUCUGCAAAGGACUGAAAACCCUGUUAUAUAUGAAGCAAGACUUUCAAAUGCAAUGAGGAUUACUAUCUCUAAGAAAGUUUUACUGUGCACUUUAAUAAAACAUGUUUUUCUGCUGCUUUUUGAAAUGCUCAAGAUUAUAUCCUCAGUCAAAAUAUUUGUUUUUAUAAUACUUUGUAGCUGAGGCCUCACCU